CUUAUACUCCCUCCGUUCCAUAAUUCUUGUCUCAAAUUUGUCCAAAAAUGAAUGUAUCUAUUCCUAAAAAGCGUCUAGAUACAUGUAACAUUUCGACAAGAAUUAUGGAACGGAGGGAGUACUAA
rnacentral:pre_miRNA from 1 species